GAGUUUGAUUCUGGCUCAGCGCGAACGUUGGCGGCGUGCCUAACACAUGCAAGUCGUGGGGCAGCAGGCUACUGUCUUUUUGCAGUAGUGCUGGCGACCGGCAAACGGGUGNNAACACGUAGCUUACCUACCCAUAGGUUGGGGAUAACAUCCCGAAAGGGGUGCUAAUACCCAAUAAUGAGGAGACUCCAAAGCCCUUAUGGGUGCCUAUGGAUGGGGCUGCGUCCCAUCAGCUUGUUGGUGAGGUAAUGGCUCACCAAGGCUACGACGGGUAACCGGUCUGAGAGGAUAACCGGUCACAGUGGGACUGAGACACGGCCCGCACCCCUACGGGGGGCAGCAGCGGGGAAUAUUGGGCAAUGGCUGAAAGGCUGACCCAGCAACGCCGCGUGGUGGAUGAAGCCCUUCGGGGUGUAAACACUUUUUCUGGGGGAAGAUAAUGACGGUACCCCAGGAAUAAGGGACGGCUAACUACGUGCCAGCAGCCGCGGUAAUACGUAGGUCCCAAACGUUGCGCGAAUUUACUGGGCGUAAAGGGUCC
rnacentral:rRNA from 1 species